UACGGGGGAUGCGAGCGUUAUCCGGAUUUAUUGGGUUUAAAGGGUGCGUAGGCGGGAUGCCAAGUCAGCGGUAAAAAUGCGGUGCUCAACGCCGUCGAGCCGUUGAAACUGGCGUUCUUGAGUGGGCGAGAAGAAGGCGGAAUGCGUGGUGUAGCGGUGAAAUGCAUAGAUAUCACGCAGAACCCCGAUUGCGAAGGCAGCCUUCCGGCGCCCUACUGACGCUGAGGCACGAAAGUGCGGGGAUCGAACAGG
rnacentral:rRNA from 1 species